GACGAACGCUGGCGGCGUGCUUAACACAUGCAAGUCGAACGAAGUGGCGAACGGGUGAGUAACGCGUAAUCAACCUGCCCUUCAGAGGGGGACAACAGUUGGAAACGACUGCUAAUACCGCAUACUGAAGGAGGGGAUUGCGGCUGCUUAGCUAGUUGGGGGGGUAACGGCCCACCAAGGCGAUGAUCAGUAGCCGGUCUGAGAGGAUGAACCGCCACAAUUGUACUGGGACACGGGCCAGAAUCCUAAGGGAGGCAGCAGUGGGGAAUCUUCCGCAAUUGACGAAAGUCUGACGGAGCAACGCCGCGUGGGUGAUGACGGCCUUCGGGUUGUAAAGCUCUGUUAAUCGGGACGCGGUACCGGAAUAGAAAGCCACGGCUAACUACGUGCCAGCAGCCGCGGUAAUAC
rnacentral:rRNA from 1 species